rnacentral:rRNA from 1 species
UAACACGUGGGUAACCUACCUAUAAGACUGGGAUAACUUCGGGAAACCGGAGCUAAUACCGGAUAAUAUUUCGAACCGCAUGGUUCGAUAGUGAAAGAUGGUUUUGCUAUCACUUAUAGAUGGACCCGCGCCGUAUUAGCUAGUUGGUAAGGUAACGGCUUACCAAGGCGACGAUACGUAGCCGACCUGAGAGGGUGAUCGGCCACACUGGAACUGAGACACGGUCCAGACUCCUACGGGAGGCAGCAGUAGGGAAUCUUCCGCAAUGGGCGAAAGCCUGACGGAGCAACGCCGCGUGAGUGAUGAAGGUCUUCGGAUCGUAAAACUCUGUUAUUAGGGAAGAACAUACGUGUAAGUAACUAUGCACGUCUUGACGGUACCUAAUCAGAAAGCCACGGCUAACUACGUGCCAGCAGCCGCGGUAAUACGUAGGUGGCAAGCGUUAUCCGGAAUUAUUGGGCGUAAAGCGCGCGUAGGCGGUUUUUUAAGUCUGAUGUGAAAGCCCACGGCUCAACCGUGGAGGGUCAUUGGAAACUGGAAAACUUGAGUGCAGAAGAGGAAAGUGGAAUUCCAUGUGUAGCGGUGAAAUGCGCAGAGAUAUGGAGGAACACCAGUGGCGAAGGCGACUUUCUGGUCUGUAACUGACGCUGAUGUGCGAAAGCGUGGGGAUCAAACAGGAUUAGAUACCCUGGUAGUCCACGCCGUAAACGAUGAGUGCUAAGUGUUAGGGGGUUUCCGCCCCUUAGUGCUGCAGCUAACGCAUAAGCACU